rnacentral:lncRNA from 1 species
UAUAUAUAUUCAGAGCCAGUCAAAUCUAAUUGGAUUAACUCCUAAAAUGUAUAACUAAGGUGUAAUCCAAAUUUCAAUCGACCGUUAUGUCGUUGAACUAAUCAUUUUCUCUUUUAUGUUAUAUUAUAUUCAUGUACACUGGGGGUAUGCCCCUGAUUAAGCUAUGUAACUAUACAACGGACUAUGUUAUAAAAUUCAUCUUUUAUUCAAUUUCAGUCUAUUUCAAUAUUUCAGAGGUCUCUUAAUCGAAGGUGCCCUAACAUUUUAUGGGGGUAAUUAACAGUAGACCCUUGCGUUUAUUGGAUCCAUACAAAUUUAUACAAAUCCAUUCUUUAUAUAAUGUUCUGUGAUAUAUGCUAUAAUUGCUUCAUUAAAUUGCAUAUGUUUGUUAAUUAAUAUAUGACGUGGAUAUAUUUUUUAUCAAUUAAAUAUAUUAUUUUAAUCUACAUUAUAUGAGAUGAUUAUUUUUCAAAGGCGAAAUUUUGAUCUAAAAAUACAAUGAGAAAUUUCACUAUUAUAUUGGACUAAGAAUAAGAUUGUGGAUACACUACAAGAAAUGACGGUAUUGGUGGCCAAAAUAAUGUGGCGAUAAAUUUUGUCGCCACUAUAUAGUUACUUAUUGUGGCAAUAAAAAAAUUGCCACCGAUUAGUUAACUAAAAGUGGCAAUACUACUUUCGCCAUUGAAUGAUUGUUUUAUCGCCACUAUUUAGUUAUCUACCGUGGCGAUAAAACAAAUGGCCACUGAUUAAUUAACAUAAAGUGGUGACACUACUUUCGCCACUAAAUAAUUAUUUUGUUGCCACUAAAUCAUUAUUUAUAAUGGCGAUAAAAAAAAUUGCCACUGAUUAAUUAAUUUAAAGUGGCAAUAUUACUUUCGCCACUAAAUGAUUAUUUUAUCGCCAUUAUUUGGUUACCUAUAGUGGCGAUAAAAAAAUUUUGCCACCAAUUAAUUAACUUUA